rnacentral:rRNA from 1 species
AUUGAACGCUGGCGGCAUGCCUUACACAUGCAAGUCGAACGGCAGCGGGGACUUCGGUCCGCCGGCGAGUGGCGAACGGGUGAGUAAUGUAUCGGAACGUACCAUUGAGUGGGGGAUAACGUAGCGAAAGUUACGCUAAUACCGCAUAUUCUCUCCGGAGGAAAGCAGGGGACCGCAAGGCCUUGCGCUUUUUGAGCGGCCGAUAUCAGAUUAGCUAGUUGGUGAGGUAAAGGCUCACCAAGGCGACGAUCUGUAGCGGGUCUGAGAGGAUGAUCCGCCACACUGGAACUGAGACACGGUCCAGACUCCUACGGGAGGCAGCAGUGGGGAAUUUUGGACAAUGGGGGCAACCCUGAUCCAGCCAUGCCGCGUGAGUGAAGAAGGCCUUCGGGUUGUAAAGCUCUUUCGGCCGGGAAAAAAUCGCAUGGGCUAAUAUCCUGUGUGGAUGAUGGUACCGGAAUAAGAAGCACCGGCUAACUACGUGCCAGCAGCCGCUGUAA